ensembl:lncRNA
UUCAGCAGAGACACACACAACCUACUUAUAUUUAUUAUUUUCAUAUGCAAUUCCUCAAACCAUAUUCCAGGUCUACAGUCGACUAAGAAAACUCCUCCCACUACCACUAAAUCCAAACCAAUAAAACAUCCAUCUACGGACCGUAGACGUACUGUUAUUAUUGGGCUAGCUGGUUAGCAUGCUAACGUCAUUAGAGAUUUUAGAACUGACGGUAGUUGCAUGCUAACGCCAGUAGCUCAACGUUCUUCAGAUGAAUCAUGUUCACAAUGGAGGGGGAGUUCCUCAGGGUCCCAUCCUUGGUCCUCUUCUUCUCAUAAAAGAUCAGUCACAUUACUACCUAAUAUUUACCAUAAUCACACUGUGCUGAGUUAAAAGAACAGAACCAGGAACCUGAACAGUUCCCGCUCGGGAGGCUCAGAUGUCCGUGGUCUCCUUGAACGCCUCUUCAAGCACGGAAGCCACAAUGGAACGUCUUCAUGUCAUCAGAGAGCAGCGAUGGAGCAAAAGAGGUCCUUAGCGUUUCACUCAUUUUCAUCCCCCGCAUUAAGAUUUAAUUUCUGGGACAGAUUUCCACCGUUAGAGUUCUGAACUAGUAACAAGAACAAGGUGUCAACACACAAACAAAUGACGAACAUUGAGGUGGAGCUUAAAAUCAGACAGAUAUGAAGAAAUCAGUCAGAUUGUCUUUACUGAAAGACACUGAAAGGAGAUGACGAAAGGCCCUCUGAUGGGCCAUGAAUGCGACGCCAUGACCUCGCCCUCAGCGUCUAGGAUCCUUUAUCAGAUCAGAGUCUGUAUUUCCAGGAGAAACCGCGGCUGCUGUCAGAUCAGAUCUCUGCCCCCUGACGCCAGCGAGGCCUCUACCAGCUGACCCCGGAUCAGAUCCUCACGGGUUCCGAGUAGACGUUAAAACCUGCGACAGCUUGCCAGUUGUUCUCCUCCCCGGCGUGACAGAUUCUCAGGGGAGACUCGUGAACUCGUUGGGAGGGCCGGAGGUGUGAUGAAAGGAGCGCUGUGUGUGGGCGGGAGGCCUCCAUGUGACCGCGACGCUCUCGGGUUACGCUGUAACGAGCGGCGACACGCCGGAUUCGGCGUUUUCUUUGGAACUAAAGUUGACGAACGGCGCAUCACAGAGGCCUUCAGUUCUCCAGAGAGAAGCUUCUACUUCUUACCCAACGCCGCCGUCACAUGACCCUCACCUCGCUUUGAAGGUGAGGCUUCCUGGACCUAAAGGGAUGACAUCAUUGUGUCUUGAUUCUGAUGCCAGAAGCCACAGAGACGAGUCCGAGGGGUCUGGGGUCAGCGGGUACGGCCUUAAGGGGGACAACGUGGCGUAAAAGUACUUCAUAACUUAUAUAAGUAAAUGUCAUAGUGUGAUAAGAAGAACCAUAAGUACCUCUGAGAUGAGACAGUAAAAAGUACCUCACAAUUGUCCUCCAGUACAUGUACCCUGAUGCCUCUGUGGGGUACAUAAACAUGUUUUUUGAAGGUUUGAGCAGUGGAUAAACACUGUAUUAAAUAUAUAAUCUGUAAAUGAUAUUACUAACAAUGCUUUGACUCGUUGUAGUUUUUAUUAACAUUCCUCCAGGUUUCACAACUCAAACACACCAAACAGGAAACAUCUUCACCUCUGUACAAAUCUACAGCGUUGUUGUCCCUUCAGAAGAAACCGUCUCCGGGUCACUUCCUGUCUGCCGACGAGCAAACUCGAGGAGGAGCGACUCCGGUGUGACGGAGAUAUUAAAAAGCUCCUAACAAACAUCUACAGGUCUUUAUAAAAACACACCGAGCAAAGUGAGAGCAUCUCUAGAGGUCCGUCAGAGGAUGAACGAGGUGGGACGGAGGCAGGAAGUGGAGGCGGAGCUGUGGCGGCCGACGCCCCCAAUUUCAAUAUUUGCCAAAUUUUUUGAUGAGGAGACCGAGAGAAGCAACGCUCGGUCUGACGAAGUGACACUGUAGCCAGCAAAAGGGAGGAAGUGCCUCGGAGGUCUUUUAUUUUGGAGCGUAAAGCAGCAGGAAGUCCUGAUGAGAUCUUUUAACGUGGGGGGGAAGCUGUUUUUGAUAAGAAUAUUAAAUCUGUUAUCAAAACAAUAUUAUGUUAUUCUCCAUAUUUAGUCCAGGUCAAAACGAGUCCAGGUCAUAAUGAGUCCAGGUCAUAAGGAGUCCAAGUCAUGACGAUUCCAGAUCGUAAUGAUUCCAGAUCGUAAUGAUUCCAGGUCAUAAGGAGUCCAUGUCAUAAGGAGUCCAAUUCAUAACGAGUCCAGGUCAGAAGGAGUCCAAGUCAUAAGGAGUCCAAGUCAUAACGAGUCCAUGUCAUAAGGAGUCCAAUUCAUAACGAGUCCAGGUCAGAAGGAGUCCAAGUCAUAAGGAGUCCAAGUCAUAACGAGUCCAGGUCAUAAGGAGUCCAAUUCAUAACGAGGCCAG